GCGAUCCCAGGUCAGGCGGGACUACCCGCUGAGUUUAAGCAUAUCA
rnacentral:rRNA from 1 species